rnacentral:sRNA from 1 species
CUGAAGCUCUAAGUUCUCUGUUGAUCCACAGAGCAGGUUAGCAUGGGCUGUGACAGGAUAUGCUUCUCCACAUUGCCCCUUCCUUAACCCAAAGGCCCAUCUCCAGGGAUGCAAGAGGAUUUCAAUCUACUCUACACACCUAUUCAUUUCUCUGCUGAG